CACCUGCAGCAUCUAGAAGGCCAGUUCAGGGGAGAAGGUGGAGUGGGGAAGUGGAUCCGCUGAACCUGUGUGGAUGAUGGCAUACCUGUGUGGAUGGGGGCCAUACCAGGGAGCAGAGUCUAAAAUGUCGCUGGUUUUCUCCAGAGCCUGCCGUAAAACGAUAUGGACUUGCAGUGGCAGGCGGCACCCAGGUCGUUACCCCUGAUAAGAUUCGUCCACACAGGCUGCCGAGGUGUUAUGUGGUACAAGAAGGAUGAGACAACUCGUAGUCGGGGACAGGCUGAAAGGAAGAAUAUUCAUCAUCCAUCCAGGUUGGAGCCGUCUGAAUGAUGUUUGUUGCCAGCUCUGCAGUUUGUACUAAAAUUCACCCCAUUCUGCCAAGCAUUUUGGACAUUUUGGAGGAUGACGGCCAAAAAAAAAAGCCUGGAAAUGCUGCCGUGUGAACAUAGCCUAUGAGUGAGCCUGAAAGAGCUACCACUUGAGUCGGAUUGAACUGCCACGAGUGAAUUAGAAAAGGCGAGACCUGGAGCAGUUUGUAAAGGAAGAGUGGUCCAACAUUCCGGCUGAGAGGUAUGACUCAAAAAGAUUUAAGAAACAGGUUCCUUAAAGAAUUAUCAACUUCUUGCAGAUUUCAGAAUCUGUAUAAGUAAUCAAAAGAAACAGAGUUUUAGGAUGACUGAAUGACCCUUUAACUUCUAUAUCUUUGGUGUUACAAUAUACAUUUAACUGAGAUUAUACAGUAUCUAUUGAAGUAGUUUCUAAAUUUAUGCUUUAUGUAGCCAAGCUGGAAAAAGGCAGUAGAACGUAACUCACAUGAAAAUGGAACAUAGCUAAAGUAUAAAAAAAAUAAUCAUCUGAUAUAUCAACCGAAAGAUAUCCAGGUGACAGAAGUGGAACUUUUACCUAUAAUAAAUUGGAUGAACUUUUUCUCUGCUGAGUUUGUCCUACUUUAUCUAAAAGACUUUGAUAAAGAAAAAAAUCGGUA